rnacentral:rRNA from 1 species
CCUACGGGAGGCAGCAGUGGGGAAUAUUGGACAAUGGGCGAAAGCCUGAUCCAGCAAUGCCGCGUGAGUGAUGAAGGCCUUAGGGUUGUAAAGCUCUUUUACCAGGGAUGAUAAUGACAGUACCUGGAGAAUAAGCUCCGGCUAACUCCGUGCCAGCAGCCGCGGGUAAUACGGAGGGAGCUAGCGUUGUUCGGAAUUACUGGGCGUAAAGCGUACGUAGGCGGUUAUUCAAGUCAGAGGUGAAAGCCUGGAGCUCAACUCCAGAACUGCCUUUGAAACUAGAUAGCUAGAAUCUUGGAGAGGUGAGUGGAAUUCCGAGUGUAGAGGUGAAAUUCGUAGAUAUUCGGAAGAACACCAGUGGCGAAGGCGACUCACUGGACAAGUAUUGACGCUGAGGUACGAAAGCGUGGGGAGCAAACAGGAUUAGAUACCCUGGUAGUCCACGCCGUAAACGAUGAUAACUAGCUGUUCGGGCUCUACGAGCUUGAGUGGCGCAGACUACGACAUUAAGUUAUCCGCCGUCGGGAGGUACGGUCGCGAGAAUUAAAACGUUAAAAGGUAAAGUUAGUACGGCGUGAGACGUGCCGACGGACGACGACGAGGGAGGAGG